GUCCGGAUGAUGCAGUGGUUAACACACCUGCAUAGUGAGCAGGAGGUUCCGGGUUCGAAUCCCGGUCCGGUACA